rnacentral:rRNA from 1 species
AGUGAACGCUGGCGGUAGGCCUAACACAUGCAAGUCGAACGGCAGCACAGUAAGAGCUUGCUCUUACGGGUGGCGAGUGGCGGACGGGUGAGGAAUACAUCGGAAUCUACUUUUUCGUGGGGGAUAACGUAGGGAAACUUACGCUAAUACCGCAUACGACCUACGGGUGAAAGCAGGGGAUCUUCGGACCUUGCGCGAUUGAAUGAGCCGAUGUCGGAAUAGCUAGUUGGCGGGGUAAAGGCACACCAAGGCGACGAUCCGUAGCUGGUCUGAGAGGAUGAUCAGCCACACUGGAACUGAGACACGGUCCAGACUCCUACGGGAGGCAGCAGUGGGGAAUAUUGGACAAUGGGGGCAAGCCUGAUCCAGCCAUACCGCGUGAGUGAAGAAGGCCUUCGGGUUGUAAAGCCCUUUUGUUGGGAAAGAAAAGCAGCAGGUUAAUACCCCGCUGUUCUGACGGUACCCAAAGAAUAAGCACCGGCUAACUUCGUG